CGGAGGGAUCAUUAAAGAGUUCUAUAACUCCCAAACCCAUGUGAACAUACCUAACGUUGCCUCGGCAGGUCGCACCUACCUUGUAGCACCCUACCCUGUAGGGCCUACCCGGGAGAUGCGGGUAAGCCUGCCGGCGGCCCACCAAACUCUGUUUAAUAUUGAAUUCUGAACAUAUAACUAAAUAAGUUAAAACUUUCAACAACGGAUCUCUUGGUUCUGGCAUCGAUGAAGAACGCAGCGAAAUGCGAUAAGUAAUGUGAAUUGCAGAAUUCAGUGAAUCAUCGAAUCUUUGAACGCAUAUUGCGCCCAUUAGUAUUCUAGUGGGCAGGACCGUUCGAGCGUCAUUUCGACCCUUAAGCCUUAGUUGCUUAGUGUUGGGAGCCUACGGCAACGUAGCUCCUCAAAGUUAGUGGCGGAGUUGGUUCACACUCUAGACGUAGUAAUUUUUUAUCUCGCCUAUUAGUUGGACUGAUCCCCUGCCGUAAAACCCCCAACUUAUCAAGGUUGACCUCGAAUCGGUUCAGACAAACUCGCUAAAUUGAAGCAUCUUAGUCAGCGAAGGAAAAGAAACCAACAGGGAUUGCCCUAGUAACGGCGAGUGAAGCGGCAACAGCUCAAAUUUGAAAUCUGGCCCUCGGGUCCGAGUUGUA
rnacentral:rRNA from 1 species